GAUGCCUUAGUAGCGGCGAGUGAAGCGGCAAAAGCUCAAAUUUGAAAUCUGGCUCUUUCAGAGUCCGAGUUGUAAUUUGAAGAAGGUAUCUUUGGGUCUGGCACUUGUCUAUGUUUCUUGGAACAGAACGUCACAGAGGGUGAGAAUCCCGUGCGAUGAGAUGAUCCAGGCCUAUGUAAAGUUCCUUCGAAGAGUCGAGUUGUUUGGGAAUGCAGCUCUAAGUGGGUGGUAAAUUCCAUCUAAAGCUAAAUAUUGGCGAGAGACCGAUAGCGAACAAGUACAGUGAUGGAAAGAUGAAAAGAACUUUGAAAAGAGAGUGAAAAAGUACGUGAAAUUGUUGAAAGGGAAGGGCUUGAGAUCAGACUUGGUAUUUUGUAUGUUACUUCUUCGGGGGUGGCCUCUACAGUUUACCGGGCCAGCAUCAGUUUGGGCGGUAGGAGAAUUGCGAUGGAAUGUKGCACGGCCUCGGUUGUGUGUUAUAGCCUUCGUAGAUACUGCCAGCCUAGACUGAGGACUGCGGUUUUAUUACCUAGGAUGUUGGCAUAAUGAUCUUAAGUCGCCCGUCUUGAAACACGGACCAAGGAGUCUAACGUCUAUGCGAGUGUUUGGGUGUUAAACCCGUACGCGUAAUGAAAGU
rnacentral:rRNA from 1 species